rnacentral:rRNA from 1 species
CACGUAGGAGGCGAACGUUAUCCGGAUUUACUGGGCGUAAAGCGCGUGUAGGUGGUUUGUUAAGUAGGGCGUGAAAGCUCCCGGCUCAACUGGGAGAGGUCGCUCUAAACUGGCAAGCUAGAGGAUGGAAGAGGGAGGUGGAAUUCCGGGUGUAGCGGUGGAAUGCGCAGAUAUCCGGAGGAACACCAGUGGCGAAAGCGGCCUCCUGGUCCAUUCCUGACACUCAGACGCGAAAGCUAGGGUAGCAAACGGGAUUAGAUACCCCUGUAGUCCCUGAGCGGG